rnacentral:lncRNA from 10 species
GUGGGGAAACCUGGAGGGAAAAAUGGAACUGAUCAGGUGCAUUUCAAUUGGGCCGUGGUAUUUUAGGCAACACCUCUGCUGGAGAGGUUGUUGCCUGCAAAACCGGAUGAAGGCAGUGCUGUCAGGGCUUGGUGCUCCGUGAACAGCCACCUGGGGUCUGCACGUGUCUUCUGCCUCCACCCACCCCCGCUCAAACCCCCUUCCCAGCACCUCCCUCUCUGCAAGGUUCCGGAGUGGCCACCCACAGAGCAGCUCUGGGCUGGGCGCUGAGUCAUGAGGCUGUGGUGCCUGCCAGGGGGCGAGGGUGGCAGAUGGCUUCAUGUGGGCGUGAGUGAGGAGGGGGGCAGAUGGGAGGGGCAGUGACCCUGGGCCCAGCAGAGAUCCAGGGAAGUGGCCUGGGAGUUCUGGGGCCAGCAUUGAACGCAAGGUGUCAGCAAGUCUCCUGCCAGAGGUCCUGACGGAGGGGCUGUUCCAGGCCAUGCUCCUGGCUUCCGGUGGUUGCCGGCAACCCUGUGCAUUCCCUGCUUGUAGAGGAACUAGAAAGAUAGAAUCUCUACGGACCCCACAAGACGACUGAUACUACAGACUAGACAAGAGCACCAGAUGAGAAAAUGGAGGUACCAAAAAGUGGGCUCUGAACUGCAGAGCCUGGCUCCAGAGCCCUUGUAUUUGACUACUGGGAUCCACCGUUAUUCUCACAGCCGCGUUUCCCACAGGGCUGCUUUGUAUGGCCUCUUAGAAAAGUCCUGCCUGUCUCCACCAUCCAGACUAUGAUGUCCGUGAGGUCAGAGGAAAGGGAGAAUGUCUCACAUACAGAAAAUGCUUGAUCAACAUUGAUGGAAUCAUAAAUGGGCCUCAGCGGCACCUGUCCUGAGUCAGCAUCUCACAGAGGUUUUGCCAGCGCCAGCCACAUCUCCAGCAUGAAGGUGAUUGUCUGAGUGUGUCCAGUCCAGUUCCUGCCUUAAUAAAAAUCACUGCUGCAAGGGAGAGGGCUGCCAAGGCCCUGCCUCCCUCCAACCCCAUCCUAGCCUGAGUCUUAACCAUUCUUCCAAUCCAGUUCCACUUUGGGCCAGUGCUUAACCCAGGGUAGCACUUUUGAGCCUCGCAACUCUUGGGAGUGAGUUUUCAUCCUAACGUUCUCAGAUGAGGAAAUUGGGCCUCAAAGAGUCCACACAGGUGAGGCACCAUGGCUCAUGCCUAUAAUCCUAACACUUUGGGAGGCCAAGGCAGGAGGAAUGCUUGAGCCCAGGAGUUCAAGACCAGCCUGGGCAACAUGGUGACACCCUGUCUCUAUAAAAAAAUACAACAAUUAGGCAAACGUGGUGGCAUGCACCUGUCAUCCCAGCUACCUGGGAGGCUGAGGUGGGAGGAUUGCUUGAGCCCAGGAGGCUGAGGCUGCAGUGAGCCAUGAUCCUGCCAGUACACUCCAGCCUGGGUGACAGAACAAGACCCUGUCUCAAAAACAAAACAAAACAAAAACAAAAACAAAGCAUCCACACAACUAGCAGGUGAAAAACUGGGGUUCAAACUCAGGCCUAUAACACUAAGGGCUGGGCCUGUCCCCACCAAAUCAGUCUUUCCUCAGACAGGCUGAGGUGUCCUCUAUAGACCAAAUAUCUGGAGGUCAGAACACUGAGACACUAGUUAUGUAAAGGCAGGGUGUGAGUUGGUGAGCUCAUCGAGAAAAUGCUUCCUGGGCUGGGUGCAGUGGCUCACACCUGUAAUCCCAGCACUUUGGGAGGCUGAGGUGGACAGAUCACCUCAAGUCAGGAGUUCAAGACCAGCCUGGCCAACAUGCUGAAACUCUGUCUCUACUAAAAAAUACAAAAAUUUGCCAAGCGCAGUGGCACAUGCCUGUAAUACUAGCUCCUCGGGAGGCUGAGGCAGGAGAACCGCUUGAACCCAGGAGGCAGAGGUUGCAGUGAGCCAAGAUUGCACCACUGAACUCUAGCCUGGGUGACAGAGCAAAACUCUGUCUCAAAAAAAAAAAAAGAAAAGAGAAAAAAGAAAGAGAGAGAAAGAAAGAGAGAGAGAAAGAGAAAGAAA